rnacentral:rRNA from 1 species
AGAGCGAACGCUGGCGGCAGGCUUAACACAUGCAAGUCGAGCGGGCGUAGCAAUACGUCAGCGGCAGACGGGUGAGUAACGCGUGGGAACGUACCUUUUGGUUCGGAACAACCCAGGGAAACUUGGGCUAAUACCGGAUAAGCCCUUACGGGGAAAGAUUUAUCGCCGAAAGAUCGGCCCGCGUCUGAUUAGCUAGUUGGUGAGGUAAUGGCUCACCAAGGCGACGAUCAGUAGCUGGUCUGAGAGGAUGAUCAGCCACAUUGGGACUGAGACACGGCCCAAAACUCCUACGGGAGGCAGCAGUGGGGAAUAUUGGACAAUGGGCGCAAGCCUGAUCCAGCCAUGCCGCGUGAGUGAUGAAGGCCCUAGGGUUGUAAAGCUCUUUUGUGCGGGAAGAUAAUGACGGUACCGCAAGAAUAAGCCCGGCUAACUUCGCGCCAGCAGCCGC